UGGGUAUUAAACCUAGAACUCCAGGAACACAAGGACUGCACUCUACAUACCAGGCCACCUUCCCAGCCACUGAAUAUUUCUAUUUGACUUUUCUUCCAGAUACUCAUGGACCACCUGGAGUACCUGGUGUCCCUGCAUGAGAGCUCCUUGAGAAAGAGAGUUAUGUGGAGGAAGACACAGCCCAUACUUGUCUGCACUCCAACCAUGAUUAAAAGAGCCAUUCAGAAAAUGAAUGAGGCUCAUGCCACCCUGCAAGCAAAGGUAUUAUCAGCCCCUGAGCAGGCCGAGUUGUGUGUCCUUUGAGCCUAGGAAUUUUGUCACCCUGCAAACCCUCCUCCACUUGAAGCCAAAAGCACUGACUGGGUAUUUCAUCUCUCUCCCUCUGGGCACCACUGACUCCUCACUGCUGGGACCUCUACGGAAGAAACGUGUCCUCCACAAGCCCAGGAACUUAGAAACCUAGAAACAACACCUCUAAGAAAUACUGAGUUACAGAGAAAGCAGGCUCUGCUGGAGUAAAACAUGGGAUCGAGGUCUGUGCUUCUCCCAUUGGGACAAAGAAACACUGGUUACCUGGAUGGAGAUCUGCCUGAAGAUGCCUGAGGUGUUUAUAGCUGCCUUCCAGGCAAAUGGGAUCAAUGGUUUCAGCAUCUUAACAAUGACAGAUGCAGAACUCAUAAGAAAUCUCCAAAUAGUCCACCCAUUCCAUCUACUAAAACUAAAGCUGGCAAUCCAGGUUAUCACCAGACAACAGCCCUCUGCUCCUCCAUGAAGGAGGAAGUGGUCUUGCCAUCUUGUUCUUUCUGUCACCACUACACCUGUUACUACUUCCAGUGAAGAACAAGAUUCAGUUUUUCCCCCGGGACUAGCAAAGGACCUGGAACCCCAGCCCCUCUACCUGCCCACCCAUUACUUUUGGGCCGAAUGCAGUGUUACCUCUACGGAGGAUUAUUACCCAAAAGUAUCUGCAAGAAAAGCACACAAGGAAAUCCUCCAAGGUUUUCAACUAUUUUUUCCCUAGGUAUUUCCUAGGGAUCAUUGAAUUAAAGGUUUAAAGUUUAUAGAUUUGCCCCUAAGCCUCAGAUGUGGCUGGAGCUGGAGGCUUGAGUGCCUGAGACACCACAGAUCCGGGACAAAGAGCAGCUGGGAGGUGGUGAGUAACAGCCUUCAAGUCUGCAGUUACAAAUGGCCUUCAGUGAAACUGCAUUGCCAAAAAUGGUUGAGAAGCUGGUUGGGAAGAGCCAAAAAGUUGAAGAGGCUGAGCCUGAAGAAUCCAUGCUGGCUUUCUUUGCCCGCUAUAGCCUUUAGACUCGAUCUCUGCUUUCCUUGGGCAUAUGGGGAGUUUUGUCAGUAUAAUAAACUGGGCCAUGUAGUGGGACUCAUGUUUUCCACA